rnacentral:rRNA from 1 species
UACGUCGGGUCCGCGCUUUUUCCUUCCUUCUUUUUCUUCAAUUUCUCUUAUUCUUUCUUUUUCUUCUGGAGUGAAAACUUACAGCUUAACUGUGAGCGUGCUUCCGAUACGGGCAGACUUGAGGUAUUCAGGGGAGAACGGAAUUCCUGGUGUAGCGGUGAAAUGCGCAGAUAUCAGGAGGAACACCGGUGGCGAAGGCGGUUCUCUGGACCGACACUGACGCUGAGGCGCGAAAGCGUGGGGAGCAAACAGG